UACGGGGGGGGCAAGCGUUGUUCGGAAUUCUGGGCGUAAAGGGCUCGUAGGCGGCCAACUAAGUCCGACGUGAAAUCCCCAGGCUUAACCUGGGAACUGCGUCGGAUACUGGAUGGCUUGAAUCCGGGAGAGGGAUGCGGAAUUCCAGGUGUAGCGGUGAAAUGCGUAGAUAUCUGGAGGAACACCGGUGGCGAAGGCGGCAUCCUGGACCGGCAUUGACGCUGAGGAGCGAAAGCCAGGGGAGCAAAACGGGG
rnacentral:rRNA from 1 species